AUCUGACCUAAUAUAUUUGGUUAACCUGUCUCUUCCACAGAAUCGCUUGAUAUGCAUUGAAAAAAACAUUGUCUGCUUGAUGCAGAUGUAAAAAAAAAAAAAAAAAAGCUUGCAGGCUAAGAUUUACAUGGAUGCAGUUUCUCAUUAUCAUGCAAUUUGGUUGGUUCUAUAAUUUAUUCACUGUAGACUAGAAGCGCAUUUUCGUAAAACCAAACAAAUAGGCUAACGCUAUUGCGCGUAAUGUAUAUGAUGUCUAAAAUGGCACUAGACAGCACUGAGUGCUCUGGACUUCACAAUCGGUGCGAGAUGCACGAGAAAGACGCUUGCCAAGAUGAUGAAAGUUGUAUUAAUGUGUCAUGCCCCCAACAAGCUUUUAAAUUGAUGUAUUUUUCCACUUUAGGAUACAAUGGAGCUCUUGGAGGAGGAUCUCACAUGCCCAAUAUGCUGCUGUCUUUUCGAGGACCCGAGAGUUCUGCCGUGCUCUCACAGCUUCUGCAAGAAGUGUCUCGAGGGCAUCCUGGACGGUAACCGGGGCCCUUUAUGGAGAUCACCAUUCAAAUGUCCGACCUGUCGAAAGGAGACUGUGCACAACGGCAUCGCGAGCUUGCAAGUCAAUUACUCCCUACGUGGCAUCGUGGAGAAGUACAACAGGAUUCGAGUGAUGCCGAGGAUGUCGCUCUGCCGAGUUCACAGCGGACAGCCGCUCAACAUCUUCUGCGCCACGGAUCUGAAGCUCAUCUGUGGUUUUUGCGCCACGACAGGUGAUCAUAAAGGACACAAGUUUUGCGCGCUGGAGGAGGCGUAUGAACGCGAGAAGCUCGCGUUUGAGGAGUUGUUUCGUGUCGUGGAGGGCUGGAGGGGUGAGGAGGUGCAUUCGUGCCUGGAAUCGUUAGAGGGAGCGAAGAGGAAAGCGCUGGAGAGGGUCUCGCGGGACGCGGAUCGAGUCUCGGAGUACUUUGAAAAACUUUUGCGCACGCUGGAGCACAAACGGAGCGAGAUCCUCUCGGACUUGGAGACUCUGAAGCUCGCGGUCAUGCAGACCUUUGACCCCGAGAUCAACCAGCUCCGUUCUGCGCUCGAGGAGCAGCGGCGCGCGCUCAGCAUCGCCGAAUCCUUCCGGUCGCUCUCCGACCCGCUCACUUUCCUCCAGCAGAUGCAGGACUUCAGAGAUAAGCUGCGCGUCAUUCGGGGAACACCGCUGCCGUCGCGGACAGACGUGGAUGUGGGUUUGCUUGGCCUGCAGUGCUUCGAUGUGAAGGAAUGGGACCGGGUGCGUAUUGGAGAGGUGGACAAGCUGUGUGCCCCCUACGAGAGCAGCACCUACCUGGCUUCGAUGCCCCCUGCUGUCGCUCCACGCUUCUCCCGUGUGCUGUGGAGAGUUGUUCUGGUUGUAUGUGCGUGCCUCCCCGCGCUGAACUUUCUCCCGUCGGACUGUCUCGCUCUGAGCUUCCAGGAUAAGAUGCUCGCACUCAGUGGCUUGUCUCUGCCCGGUCCUGGAGACAUCGUGCGCUGGUUUGAAUUCUGCUGGAAAGAAGCGGAAGCGAUCUGCACGUUAUUAACCGAGCUGUGUCAGAACUGUAUCUUGGACCUGAUAAACACAAUAUCAGAUUUCAUCAGCUGAUUUUAUAACUUCAUUCAUUAGCAGGGCUUGAGGCAUUCCAGGGCUCCAUCUGAAACACAGAAGAGAGGAGGACGCUUGCGUGAGAACAUACACACAGCAGCUGGACGUGAUGCUGACAGAUUUUCUGCAGACAAACCUCUCAGCAACUUUCAAGCAUUAUACCAAAACCUGUCCUCUGGCAACUCCAUCAAAAAUAAUGAUAUUAAAGAAAACAAGAAACUAGCACUAUUGCCUUCCAGCCCAGUCUGGAUUUAACCUCCAAGAUGGUGAUUCAGCACUGACAACAUCCAGCCUCGUAGUCAUCUUCAACAGCGAGAACAGACCUGCCACCAGCUUCCUAAAGUACUGUCCCACAGCUGAAGACAUCUCUUAUGCCCACACUAUGCUAUAAAAAAAAAGUAUUCUGAAGUAUUGAUAGUAAUAUGAGAUAUUUAUACAACUGACAAUAGAACGACGAACAGAUUCUCAAUAAAGUAUUUUCUUUGACACCACAUUCCUAAAGAUUUGAAAUUAAGUCUUGAAAUCUUAAAAUAAAAUUUGUGUUGAACCAUAUUUGAUUUUCAUUACAAAUUGGAGAAUUGUAGCAUUAAACAAUAAUUCAAAAACAUUUCCAUGUCUGCUUUUUAGUAGAAAACAUUGAAGCAGCAGAAAGGUGAGAUCUGCAGAGAGUGCACUAAAUAAUAC